rnacentral:rRNA from 1 species
AGAGUUUGAUCCUGGCUCAGGACGAACGCUGGCGGCGUGCUUAACACAUGCAAGUGGAGCGACGAACCGGGGCUUGCCCCGGGGCAGAGCCGCGAACGGGUGAGUAACACGUGGGUCACCUGCCUCAAUGACCGGGACAACCCGAGGAAACUCGGGCUAAUACCGGAUGUGCCCGCAAGGGGAAAGGUAGCUUCGGCUUC